GCUAACGCGUUAAGUCGACCGCCUGGGGAGUACGGCCGCAAGGUUAAAACUCAAAUGAAUUGACGGGGGCCCGCACAAGCGGUGGAGCAUGUGGUUUAAUUCGAUGCAACGCGAAGAACCUUACCUGGUCUUGACAUCCACGGAAGUUUUCAGAGAUGAGAAUGUGCCUUCGGGAACCGUGAGACAGGUGCUGCAUGGCUGUCGUCAGCUCGUGUUGUGAAAUGUUGGGUUAAGUCCCGCAACGAGCGCAACCCUUAUCCUUUGUUGCCAGCGGUCCGGCCGGGAACUCAAAGGAGACUGCCAGUGAUAAACUGGAGGAAGGUGGGGAUGACGUCAAGUCAUCAUGGCCCUUACGACCAGGGCUACACACGUGCUACAAUGGCGCAUACAAAGAGAAGCGACCUCGCGAGAGCAAGCGGACCUCAUAAAGUGCGUCGUAGUCCGGAUUGGAGUCUGCAACUCGACUCCAUGAAGUCGGAAUCGCUAGUAAUCGUGGAUCAGAAUGCCACGGUGAAUACGUUCCCGGGCCUUGUACACACCGCCCGUCACACCAUGGGAGUGGGUUGCAAAAGAAGUAGGUAGCUUAACCUUCGGGAGGGCGCUUACCACUUUGUGAUUCAUGACUGGGGUGAAGUCGUAACAAGGUAACCGUAGGGGAACC
rnacentral:rRNA from 1 species